UUGGAGGGCAAGUCUGGUGCCAGCAGCCGCGGUAAUUCCAGCUCCAAUAGCGUAUAUUAAAGUUGUUGCAGUUAAAAAGCUCGUAGUUGAAUUUCGGGGUUAGUAGGUUGGUCAUGCCUCCGGUAUGUACCGGUCUCACUGAUUCCUCCUUCCUGAUGAGCUGUAAUGCCAUUAAUUUGGUGUUGCGGGGAAUCAGGACUGUUACUUUGAAAAAAUUAGAGUGUUUAAAGCAGGCUAACGCCUGAAUACAUUAGCAUGGAAUAAUGAAAUAGGACGUUCGAUCCUAUUUUGUUGGUUUCUAGGAUUGACGUAAUGAUUAAUAGGGAUAGUUGGGGGCAUUAGUAUUCAAUUGUCAGAGGUGAAAUUCUUGGAUUUAUUGAAGACUAACUACUGCGAAAGCAUUUGCCAAGGAUGUUUUCAUUAAUCAAGAACGAAAGUUAGGGGAUCGAAGACGAUCAGAUACCGUCGUAGUCUUAACCAUAAACUAUGCCGACUAGGGAUCGGAUGAUGUUAAUUUUUUAAUGACUCAUUCGGCGCCUUACGGGAAAC
rnacentral:rRNA from 1 species